AGAGUUUGAUCCUGGCUCAGGACGAACGCUGGCGGCGUGCUUAACACAUGCAAGUCGAACGCUGAAGCCCAGCUUGCUGGGUGGAUGAGUGGCGAACGGGUGAGUAACACGUGAGUAACCUGCCCCCUUCUUUGGGAUAACGCCCGGAAACGGGUGCUAAUACUGGAUAUUCACUGAUCUUCGCAUGGGGGUUGGUGGAAAGGUUUUUUCUGGUGGGGGAUGGGCUCGCGGCCUAUCAGCUUGUUGGUGGGGUGAUGGCCUACCAAGGCUUUGACGGGUAGCCGGCCUGAGAGGGUGACCGGUCACAUUGGGACUGAGAUACGGCCCAGACUCCUACGGGAGGCAGCAGUGGGGAAUAUUGCACAAUGGGCGAAAGCCUGAUGCAGCGACGCCGCGUGAGGGAUGGAGGCCUUCGGGUUGUAAACCUCUUUCGCUCAUGGUCAAGCCGCAACUCAAGGUUGUGGUGAGGGUAGUGGGUAAAGAAGCGCCGGCUAACUACGUGCCAGCAGCCGCGGUAAUACGUAGGGCGCGAGCGUUGUCCGGAAUUAUUGGGCGUAAAGGGCUUGUAGGCGGUUGGUCGCGUCUGCCGUGAAAUCCUCUGGCUUAACUGGGGGCGUGCGGUGGGUACGGGCUGACUUGAGUGCGGUAGGGGAGACUGGAACUCCUGGUGUAGCGGUGGAAUGCGCAGAUAUCAGGAAGAACACCGGUGGCGAAGGCGGGUCUCUGGGCCGUUACUGACGCUGAGGAGCGAAAGCGUGGGGAGCGAACAGGAUUAGAUACCCUGGUAGUCCACGCUGUAAACGUUGGGCACUAGGUGUGGGGGCCACCCGUGGUUUCUGCGCCGUAGCUAACGCUUUAAGUGCCCCGCCUGGGGAGUACGGCCGCAAGGCUAAAACUCAAAGGAAUUGACGGGGGCCCGCACAAGCGGCGGAGCAUGCGGAUUAAUUCGAUGCAACGCGAAGAACCUUACCAAGGCUUGACAUGCACGGCGGCACUGCAGAGAUGUGGUGGCAUUUAGUUGGUCGUGUGCAGGUGGUGCAUGGUUGUCGUCAGCUCGUGUCGUGAGAUGUUGGGUUAAGUCCCGCAACGAGCGCAACCC
rnacentral:rRNA from 1 species